rnacentral:lncRNA from 1 species
CUUCACACCAGUCAUGGAGGGGGUGGUUGCAAUGCUCAGCAAAUAAAAAAAUCUCCAUUCCCCUGGGCCUUGUACCAGGCCAGGAGCUUACUGCAGCCUACAGGCACUUCCCUGUGCUCUGUGAACCUGAAAAAACCUGCAAUAUAGAAGUCCUCCUCAUCUGAAACAAUUCUCUUUAUUCUUUUUCUGCCCUAAUCUUGUAGCACAAUUGCAGUUCCAGAAAUGACACAAAACACUCAAGUCCAUGGAUGGUGAGGUGCUCAUGGAAAUUGAGACCAGCCCCAGCCGUGUCUGUUGCCAGCAGGACAGUGCAGUGUCCCCACUCUGCUGAGGUACCAGUGUGUGGUGAGGCACACAGAUGGCAUCCUGGGAUGCUAAUGUGCAUGUCAUGUUGUGCUAGUAUGCCACAAAGAUUUUGGAGGGUAGAAUAGGGAGAAUUUGUUAUUUUCUUUAGAAACAGCUUUUCUCCUCCAUCGUCCCUUGAGAUCUGCUCCUCACAACAAGCUUGGGGUGCACUGUGCACUUCUCUCCCUUACACACAAAGGCUCUGCCCCUUUUCAGAAAGGCUUCCAGAAGGACACUGACAGUACUGAACCCCACUCAGUCUGCUUGCUUUUAGCAGCCCUACUCGCCUGCCCUGCAAGAACAGAGAGGAAAUUUUCCCUGCUCUCUGGAGUAAGGUCCUCCAUCACCAUGUCACAAAAGAAAACAGGCUGCUUGGUAGCUAAGGAAAACUGCUGACUUUAAACCUGAAAUAAGGCUCUAUCAUUUACACUAAUGAGCUCACUGGUGGGGACUUUGUAAAAUUUUAUGAUAAAAAGUAGCUGUAGUCAGUGUUUGAUAGAAUUUACUAUUUUACUUUUUUUGCUGAAGAUAGACAUAACUACUAAUCAUUUUCCCAUUCAAACCUAAAGAGAAAUAAGUGCAGGAAGAACUGUCCCAGUAGAAAUUCAAAGAUCUUGUAAGUAAUCCAUUAUUAUUAAUUUUUUUUAACCAUGGGUUGGUCUAAAUUCUUCUGAGAAAUGCUAUAGACAUUUUUAACUGGUUGAAUAGCAAAUAAGUUACUUAGAAGAAGCCCUUAAUUAAAUACUAAUAUUUCAGGAUUUUAAUUGUUUGUGGCUUAUGGUUCCAAGUUAACCUCCUAUAUCUGCUAGUCCUGUCAGGUUUGAUUUCUGAUGGAAGAGUGCCCUGGGAUGCACCCUGGGGUAGCCCUGUGAUAGUUUCUGAGCCAGGAUUCCACAUAUGCCCAAUAUGUGCAGUGAAUAAGGGGAGGUAUCUAACAGGCUUUGUUACUGUAGACUGUCAGAGCAGUAAACGACAAGGGCUAAGGAAAUCUCUCAGCUACUGUAGCUGGCAAAGACCUAAACCGUUCAAUUCUGAGCCAGAAUAAAUGAGUCUGGCUGGAGAGAGCA